UGAUAGAGGUGUACAAGAUAGUUAGAAGCAUUGAUCGUGUGGAUAGUCAGAGGCUUUUUCCUCACAGCUGAAAUGGCUAACAUGAGAGGACAUAGUUUUAAGGUGCUUGGAAGUAGGUGCAGAGGAGAUGUCAGGGGCAAGUUUUUUUACGAAGAGAGUGGUGAGUGCAUGGAAUAGGUUGCCAGCAGCGGUAGUGGAGGUGAAAGCGAUAGGGUCUUUUAACAGACACCUGGAUAGGUACAUGGAGCUUAGAAAAAUAGAGGGCUAUGGGUAAGCCUAGGUAGUUCUAAGAUAAGGACGUUCGGCACAGCUUUGUGGGCUGAAAGGCCUGUAUUGUUUCUGUCAGUUUUCUAUGUUUCUGUGUUUCACAAACCUCAGUAUCCAGUUCAUCAUUCCCAAUAACUUCUACUAUUUACGGCGGGAUCCAACCUGAAUGCAUCUUUCUGCUAAAACCCCUCACAAUCUUGGCUUUCAAUAGGGAUUGUUCUCUAUGUGAUGCCAUUCUCCACUCGACCUUCUCCACUGAUCUCCCUCCUGAUGAUAUCUGUCAUAACCUUAGUCUUUGCUUAGUACAGAUUCUGAUGCUGAUGUGUGCAUCACCAUCUCUGAAUGGAUCAGUCAACAUGACAGAGAACACCAGACAAUAUCUUUGACAUCAAGACAUAGCUCUGCUUAACCCUGUCUGAGACCGUGAAAGGCUCAGAUGUCUCACCAUUACCCUGAACUCUAGCUUGAUUGCCAUCAUGGAACUGUGACGCCAUAGUGAUGAACUUCCAUGGGAAACCAUACUUUACCAUUGUCUUCCACAGACCCUCUCUGCAAACAGUGUCGAAAGCCUUCGUCAGGUUGACAUAGCUGGAGAACAGGUCAGCAUUUUGCUCCUGACAUUCCUCUUGCAGCAAACACCACACUGAUAGUCCCACACUCUUUCUAGUUCCAUACUGGCUCUCUGAUAGCAGUCUCCUGUCAAUGUCUGAUUUGAGAAGCGUGGCAAACGUCUUGACUAUGAUGGCCAACAAGGAUAUUCCCCGAUAGUUAUCCAGCUUUCCCUCUCACUUAUACAGGUGGAUGAUGGAUGCAUCUUUCAAUUCCAGUGUUAGCUUCUCUUACUAACACAAGAGUUGGAAGGUAAAUGCAAUGUCAGCAUUCAUUUAGCAAGGACUAGAAGAUAAAAGGAAGGGUGUGAAAACAAUGCUUUGUAAGGCACUGAUGAUGCCUCAUGUGGAAUAUUGGGAGCAGUUUGGGCCCCUCAGUUUUGAAAAAUUGUACUGGCAUUGGAGAGGAUGUAGAGGAGAUUUAUGUCAAUGAUUCCAGGAAUGAAAGGGUAAAUGUCUGAGGACUAUUUUCUGAUUAUGGGCCUAUAUUUGCUGGAAUUUAGAAGAAUGAGGGAGAAUCUCAUUGAAACCUAUCAAAUAUUGAAAGGCCCAGACAGCAUGGAUGUAGUGAGGAUGUUUCCUACAGUAGGAGAGUCUAUGACCAGAGGGCACAGUGUUAUGGUCUGGUCCGGAGCCCGCAUUCCGGGUCUUGAUCCGGUCCACGGACUCCAGACUCCGGGUCUUGUAACUGCCCCUCCUUUCAGCCUUAAGCCCAAAUAAGAUCAUCUUGUCUUAAGGAGGCACACCUGAUGCCUAUCGGCUGGAAGGUGAAAAUAAGAGACACUGGGACUGAGUUUAGUUGGGGGGUUGUUCUGUUUAUUCUGACCUGUUUGUCUGGUUUUGUUCUGCUUGUUGUGUUUGUCCUGGCUUUGAGUACCCUCUGUUAAUCAACAAGUUCUGUGAGUCAGUCUCAUAGUCACCCUGGACUGAACUCCCUUCCGAUUCUUGCCUUUGUUGGGUAAGCACACUGGACUGCCGUUGCCUGGUGGGGGACUCUGAACUUCCUACCCCUUGCUCCCAGGUGCUCUGUGCCUUGCCCAGGCCCCCAUGUUCCUGCCUGCGAGGUAACCCUGGGGAAUUAUUGUGGCCCGCCCUGAGGACUCUGACCCUUUCCUACCCCUUGCUCCUGAUGGUUUGUGCCAUGCAACCUGCCCAGGUGCUCUGCAUCUUGCCCAAGCCCCCAUGUUCCUGCCUGGGAGGUGGCCCUGACCAGGAGUUAUUGUGGCCCACCCUGAGGACUCUGACCCUUUCCUACCCCUUGCUCCCAACGGGUUGUGCCCCGCAACCGGUCCAGGUGCUCCGUGUCUUGCCCAAGCCCCUGUGUUCCUGCCUGGGAGGUGACCCUGCCCAGGAGUUAUGCAGCCUGCCCAGGGGCUCCCCUCCCAGCAUUCCUUGUCCCAAAGACCCAUCCUCUUGCCUAGCCAAGAUCCUGCCUCGCCAUGAACUCCGGGAGCCUCCUCACCUGAACUUUAAGACUCUCUCGGAACCCCAGCAUCACCUUGAACGUCAUGACCCUCACGCUCACCACGGUCUCCAUGUCUUGUCUCUCGUUUAGUUGUUCCCGUCCUGUCCCUAGUACUUCAGUGCCUGCGUCCUGCAAUUGGGUCCAGCCCUGUCCCUUUAUGACACACAGACACAGAAUUGAGGGAACUCCAUUAAGAACAGAGAUGAGGAAGAAUUUAUUUUGCCAGAGCAUGAUGUAUCUGUGAGACAGCUGUGGAGGCCAAGUUAUUGAGUAUAUUUAAAGUGGAGGUUGAUAGGUUCUUGGUUAGACAGGCCAUUGAAGGUUAUGGGAAGAAGUCAGCAGAAUGAGAUUGAGAGGGAUAAUAAAACAGCCACGAUGGAAUGGUGGAACAGACUCAAUAAGACAAAUGGCAUAAUCUGCUCCUGUUGUAUGACUUACAUGAAUGUCACAACAAAGCUUCCUCUUUUACAUCCUCCCUCGCUCUGAAGGUGAGUUACUCAUCUGGUCCUUGGCCUCAUCAUCCUGUCCAAUGGAAAGUUUAACAUUUCAGUACUUGCGUUUCAAACUUCAGCUGUACUGAUUCUGCUAACUAUGUUUUUCCAGUCGAUCUCUAUCGCCACUACAGGCAACUGAGAAGGAGAAGCAGAGUCCAGCAGCAUUGGCAGAAGGCUGUCUCUGGGAGCUGCUGGGCAGAACUGCCUACGGUAGCAUCAAGAAUGCCAUCAAGCCUGUUUUAAUGAGCCUCCAGGUGAACCACCAGGCUUGUCCGGAUUGUCUUGAUGGAAAUUAUGGAUGAGGGAAGGGUCCAGGAUGAAGGAGCUGGAAUCCAGGAGCAUUCCUCCAGGCCGUAUCCCUCCCACUCGACCAGACACUGCUGAUCCUGUCUUCUGCUUAUGAUGUGGCUGUCGAUAUGGAGAGGUCUCUUGCCUGUUCUGUUUACUCUGUGGGCUGCGUCCAGUGAUAUACUGAAUUGCAUAAUGGAAAAAAACUGCUACGAUCUGUCCGUAUUUGAGGAGAUGACGGUAUGUGUUGAUGGCUGCAAAGCAGCUAACCCCAGUCUGAAAAGGGCCAAAAGGAUGGAACAUUUCCGCUGGGGAAAACCACGAGGAAGACGGCGGCGGCGGAAGAAUACAACAAAAGAAGUGACGAUCCCCAAACAAAAUAAUUGACUAUGACAAAUAAUAUGAGAACUAUUUUCGGCAAGAUGUUCAAACAGACCAGGCAUUGGAAGUGCAGUGGGCAGGGAUAAAACCUUGAUAAUGCACCGAGUUCCUGGAAUCAUAGAGACCAUCCUCCUUGAUCGGAACUUGAUCAUCAAGGAUAGCCAGGAGGUCAACCCUCAGCAACAGUGAUGGAGCUGAGUAAAAAAGCUAGCUGGGUGUAAAUGAUAGGACCUGCCAUCAAUGUAUUAAUUGAGCAAUUGGUAAACUGAAAAAUAAAGUUUUUCU